AUCCCGCAUCGCUUCCUGAACGCGUUUGGUUGCAGACCCUGUGCCAGGAGCUGUUCUCAUUUGUUACUGAUAUAUCUGGCCCUGUAGUGUGUUGCUUCUAACCGCCGGCCCCGCCAGCACACUCGGUGGCCUCCAGCUGGCCCGGGUCUGCUCCGCGGUGUGGCCCAGAGAAAGUAGGCGAGAAGACCCCGAUGGCGGACCCGGCCAGGGAUGGAUGACAAAGACCGGCGCGAGGGGCCCUCAACUCCCCUGCAAUUAUUAACAAGCUUGCAAGUAGAAUUUAUUUGAAUUUGGCUCAAGGAAAACACACUGAACCAAAAUGUACUGCGGUCGAGCCCCCUCCAUCCGUCCUCAGCUCCUCUCUCUGACUUAACUUCCUUUUAGGAAAAGGCAAAAUUAUUUUCUUAAGUUGUCACAUACACCCCAAAUCCACCCCACCCCCCACCCCAGCGUAAACUGAGAUGCAAGUUGCUAACUGAUGUGAGAGCAACAUGCGGUGUUUUAUUAUUUCUGACAGGACCUGAGUUCGUUGAUGCUUUAAAAUUUUUAGUUAUAUUUUUUCUAGGUGUUUAUUGGUACGUUACAGGUUUUUUCAUGGAAUUUAAAGUUUUCUGUGAAACUUUUGUCUUCAAGCAAUCUGACCGCAUUAAAUACUGCAUUUAAAAGUUACACUGUAGCAAAUACGUUUUGAAAUUAGUCACAAUAUAAAGAUGAAAUCAUAUUUUUAAAAAAGACCUUCAGGCCAAAUCAGAAUAUGUGGGUUUGAUCAGCCUUGGCCCUCCCCACAUUUUCUCAACAUCUUUUCUUGUCCUGGGAUGUGUAUAAACUACCGGUCCAGAGCCGGGCCUGCACUAGGGUGUUAAGGAGAACCGAACCGCUUUCAGCCUGCAUACCAGAAGAGCUUUAAGUAAAAAAAAAAAAAAAAAAAAAA